UGGGGAAUAUUGCACAAUGGGCGCAAGCCUGAUGCAGCCAUGCCGCGUGUGUGAAGAAGGCCUUCGGGUUGUAAAGCACUUUCAGCGGGGAGGAAGGCGGUGAGGUUAAUAACCUCAUCGAUUGACGUUACCCGCAGAAGAAGCACCGGCUAACUCCGUGCCAGCAGCCGCGGUAAUACGGAGGGUGCAAGCGUUAAUCGGAAUUACUGGGCGUAAAGCGCACGCAGGCGGUCUGUCAAGUCGGAUGUGAAAUCCCCGGGCUCAACCUGGGAACUGCAUUCGAAACUGGCAGGCUAGAGUCUUGUAGAGGGGGGUAGAAUUCCAGGUGUGGCGGUGAAAUGCGUAGAGAUCUGGAGGAAUACCGGUGGCGAAGGCGGCCCCCUGGACAAAGACUGACGCUCAGGUGCGAAAGCGUGGGGAGCAAACAGG
rnacentral:rRNA from 1 species